GCCCUCGUAGCUCAGCGGUAGAGCGUCUGUUUCGUAAACAGAAAGUCGUGGGUUCAAAUCCCAUCGGGGGCU
rnacentral:tRNA from 1 species